UUUUCCGCGAAAUCUAUUUCAGUAGAGCGUAUGAUGUCGAUGGCCCGAGGUAGAGCACUCAAUGGGCUAGGGUGGCCCCCAUUUCGCUUUACCAACCCCAGGGAAACUCCGAAUACAGGCCGUCAUCCUUAGUACAGACAGACUGAUUGGGUGCUAAGAUCCAAAGUCGAGAGGGAAACAGCCCAGAUCAUACGCUAAGCUCCCUAAGCACUCACUUAGUGGAAAAGGAAGUGAUCGAGCAAUGACAACCAGGAGGUGGGCUUGGAAGCAGCCAUCCUUUGAAGAAAGCGUAAUAGCUCACUGGUCUAGCUCCAUGGCACCGAAAAUGUCUCAGGGCUCAAGUGAUUCACCGAAGGGACGAGACCUUGAAAGCAGCUUUUUCAAGUGUCAGUAGCGGGACGUUCUGUCAAUCGGGGAAGGUUUUUGGUGACAAGACCUGGAGAUAUCAGAAGUGAGAAUGCUGACAUGAGUAAUGAGAAAUCCUGUGAAAAACACGAUCGCCUGCCAGUGGAAGGCUUUCUACGUUCAGUCAAUCUACGCAGAGUGAAUCGGUCCCUAAGGAACCCCCGAAAGGGCUGCCGUCCGAUGGGUACACGAAAGUGAUGAAGUUGCUUUGACUACUGAACCAUGCCUGGAUCAUCGGAGCGAAUUGGAUGAUCGGGCCGAGGGCUGCCCCCUCUUCCCCUCGCUCUCCUUUCCUUAAUAUUCACCGUCGAGUCAUCAAAGCCAUCAACUAAUUCAGAGGGGCUCGGCUGGCCCAGUUGCCCUAUGCUACUGGCGCUUCCAAAGGCGAAGCUCUCGUCUUUGGCGACCAGCAAACGGAGGGCUAAAACCUGUAGUUUUGAAGCAAGGGAUGAGCGUGAAAGCCGUUGCGCUUCCGUACACGCGCAUACGUUUUCUUGCUGGGGCGGACACGGAUUUCUCUCUAAAGGCGAAGAAAAAGAAGUGGGCGAACACUCGGCCCAGCGGGCGAACAUGCCGGCUCCGGCUCCGCGCACCUGCUGACACCUUUCGAAGCACUUUCACGUGUGAACCGAAGUCGUCUUGCCAAACUCCUUCCUUUCUCAUUUCAGUCCUCGCCUUUUUCAUCUUCCGUAGGGGCCUUUAGUCUUUUGAUUAGAGUGGAGGUCACGAGAGAGCAGAGCGUACCGCCCUGCCAUAGUCGCGAGGAUCUUAAUAGUCGGUCGCGACUGUUGUCAUAGUCAACGACAGUUGAAACUUCCAGGAAAAAACUUCAAAUUGGGAGGGCGAUCCUCCCGGUGAACUGACCGUACCCCAAACCGACACAGGUGAACAAGUAGAGUAUACUAGGGCGCGUCGAGAGAACCAUGUCGAAGGAACUCGGCAAAAUGACCCCGUAACUUCGGGAGAAGGGGUGCUCUCCUAUCUUUUGAUUAGGAAAGCGGCACA
rnacentral:ncRNA from 1 species